AAGUUGCACCCUAACAGUAUAACUUUGCAACGAGUACUUUUUCUCAUUCAAUAGAACAAAGAGUAAAACUUAAUUAUAUUGUUCUAUUAUGCCCCGAGAGUAUAAAUUUGCAACGUAUCGAUGUCAACGUUCAAAAGAACUAAAACCGGAACAACAUUAGACUACUCAGUUACGCCCUAACAGUAUAACUUUACAAACAGUAAUUUUUUUCAUUCAAUGGAACAAAAAGUAAAACCUAAUUAUAUUGUUCUAUUAUGCUCCAAGAGUAUAAAUUUCCAACGUAUCGAUGUCAACGUUCACAAGAACCAAAACCGGAACAACAUUAGACUACUCAGUUGUGCCAAAACAAUAUAACUUUACAAACAGUGCUUUUUCUCAUCCAAUCGAACAAAGAGUAAAACCUAAUUAUAUUGUUCUAUUAUGCUCCGAGAGUGUAAAUUUGCAACGUAUCGAUGUCAACGUUCAUAAGAACCAAAACCGAAAAAACAUUAGACUACUCAGUUGUUCCAAAAUAUUAUAACUUUGCAAUGAUUACUUUUUCUCAUUCAACCGAACAAAGAGUAAACCUAAUUAUACUGUUCUAUUAUGCCCCGAGAGUAUAAAUUUGCAACGUGUCGAUGUCAACGUUCACAAAAAUCAAAACCGUACCAAUAUUAGACUACUACGUUGAGCCCUAACAGUAUCACUUUGCAACGAGUACUUUUUCUCAUUCAACCGAAAUAAAGAGUAAAUCCGAAUUAUAUUGUCCUAUUAUGCCCCGAGAGUGUAAAUUUGCAACGUAUCGAUGUCAACGUUCACAAGAACGUACUUUUCUCAUUUAAUCGAACAAUAGUAAACCUAAUUAUAUUGUUCUAUUAUGCACCGAGAGUUAAAUUUGCAACGUAUCGAUGUCAACGUUCACAAGAACCAAAACCGAAAAAAUAUUAGACUAAGUAUACGCCCUAACGUAUAAAUUUGCAAUGAGUAGUUUUCUCAAUUCAAUCGGACAAAAAAUAAAACCUAAUUAUAGUUUGUUGCAUUAUGCCCUGAGAGUGUAAUUGCAACGUUUCGGAUGUCAACGUUCACAAAAACCAAAACCGGACAAACAUUAGACUACUUAGUUCGCCCUAACAGUAUAACUUUACAACGAGUACUUUUUUUUCUUCAACCGAACAAAGAGUAAAACUAAUUAUAUUAUUUUUAUUAUGCCCCGAAGUGUAAUUUGUAACGUAUCUAUGAAACGUUCAACAAAGAACAAACCGAACAACAUUAGACUUCUCAGUUGCGCCCUAACAAUAUAACUUGGCAACUGUGUUUUUCUCAUCCAUCGAAUAAAGAGUAACCCAAUUAUAUUAUUCUAUUAUACGCCGAGAGUGUAAAUUGGCAACUUAUCGAUGUCAACGUUCACAAGAACCAAAACCGGACAAACAUUAGACUACUCAGUUGCGCACCUAACAGCAUAACUUUGCCAAUAAAUAGUUUUUCUCCUUCAUCGAACAAAGAGUAAAACCUAAUUAUACUGUUCUAUUUUGUCCCAAGAGUGUAAUUUACAACGUAUCGAUGUCAAGAUUCACAAAAACCAAAACCGAACCAACAUUAGACUACUCAGUUGCCGCCCUAACAGUUAAACUUUACAACGAGUAUUUUUCUCCUUUAACGAACAAGAGUAAACAAUUAUAUUUGUUCUAUUAUGUCCCGAAGUGUGUAAUUUGCAACGUAUCGAUGUAAACGUUCACAGACCAAAUGGAACAACACAAUGAAUACUCGUUGCGCCCUAACAGUAUAACUUUGGAAACUGUACUUAUUCUCAUUCGAAUCGAACAAAGAGUAAACCCAAUAUAUUGUUCUACUAUCCCGAGAGUGUAAAUUUGCAAUUAUCGAUGUCAACGUUCACAAGAAACAAAACUGGACAAACAUUUAGACUACUUAGUUGCGCCCUAACAGUAUAACUUUUGCAACGAGUAUUUUUCUCAUUCAACCGAACAAAGAGUAAAACAAUAUUUGUUCUAUUAUGACCGAGUGUGUAAAUUUCUAUCUGAUCGAUGCAAUGUUCACAAGCAACCACCGGAACUAGACUACUCGUUACGUACCAACAGUAUACUUUACAAACAGUACUUUUUCUCAUUCAAUCGAACAAAGAGUAACAACCAUAUACUCCUACUUUAUGCCCCGAAAAUGUAAAUUUGCAACGUAUCGAUGUCAACGUUCACAGAAAACCAAAGCCGAACAACAUUAGACUACUCAGUUGCACCCUAACAGUAUAAUAACUUUGCAAACAGUACAUUUUCUCAUUCCAUCGAACAAGAUAAAACCAAUUAUAUUAUUCUAUAAUGCCCGAGAAUUUAAAUUUGCAACGUAUCGAUGUCAACGUUCACAAAACCAAAACUAGACCAACAUUACCGGACCAACAUUAGAACUAGUUGCGCCCUAAACAGUAUAAACUUUUGUAAACGAUACUUUUUUUGAUUUCAACCCAACAAAGAGUAACAACCUUAAUUAUACGUUGACUCUAUUUCAUGCCUGAGAUGUAUAAAUUUGCGAGUAUCGGAUGUCAACGUUCACAAAAAUCCAAACGUGGAACAACAUUAGCACUACUCGAUGCGCCUAAACAGUAUAGUAAAACCAUUUUUAGAGCAUAAGGAUCAAUCCUUAGAGUUCUACCAUUAAAGGGUUUUGAAGCUUACCUCUCAAGCAAGCUCCAAUGGAGAGGAAGAAGAUGGAGAAGAUGGAAAUCCACCUUAGAGCUUCGAUCUCCACCAAAAUCAUCUAUUUUUGGGAGAGAUUUAGAGAGAGAAAGGGAUUUCUCUCCUUUCCCUUCCAUGCGUGUAUUGUGUGCGUGUGUGUGUGUGGUUGUGGUGUGCACGGUUGAGGGAGGAGAAGAAGAGCAAUGCUCUUUUCCACAAGCAGCCCCCUCAACUAUUCCACUUUUCAGUUUAGUCCCUCAAAUCUGAUAAGUUUCGUUGGAGCCCUUCCGGAUGUCCGAUUGAGCUCAAAUUUGACAGGCAUGCUCAGUUUAACGUACUGAGUAAGAAUAUGUCUUAAGUUUUCAGUUUCGACUCCGUUUGGUCACUGAAAACUGUACCGAACUGCAAUCUUUAUCAGAUAGCUUUCGGAUUUUAUUUCUCACUCUACGGGUAUCAAAAAAAUAUGAAACCUUAAAUCUAGCUUCACAAAAAUAUUUCUGACAUCUCUGCCAAUUUUCAUAAUUUUCUGAGACUGUGCGUUUUCUGCUAAUUUAUCUGCCCCGUUUCCAACAGAAAAUUCUAAAUCUUCUGUUUUAAUUCCGAUUUCAGCACAGGUCAUUCCCAACUUAUAUUUCACUUCUCUAAAUUCAAUAAAAAUAGUAUCUCAUACUAUUUUUAUUUAUUUCUAUUUUUUUAUAUUUAAAUCCGGUAUAUUACAUUACACCGCAACCUUACCGGAACCAUUCAAAUGGCUCUCCAACCAAAUGGACACCGUAGCUUCAUAAUUUUAGAAGUCCGGUACCUUACACUCACACUAUUUUUAUUUAUUUUCACUUUUACAUUUAAAAUUCGGUAUGUUACAUUCCACCGCAACCUUACCGGAACCUUUUAAAUGUACACCGUAACUUCAUAGUUUUAGAAGUCUGGUACCUUACACUAGGCCCUUACCGCGACCCUCGCCGGGGGUACUCGAACUCGAACCUGCAACAAUGUAGGGUGAGAACUACGAAUAGUUCCCUGUGGUUUCGACCGCUGACUCCUCCGAUCUCCCCACUAGGUCUAAGCAGGCAUAAGCAGAUAGAUAGAUAGAUAUUUAACCGAAAUGAAAGCAUAGUAAAGAACUACAGUAUACUACUAUGCCUGACAAGUAUGCAAUGAACAAUCGAAGCAAGUAUCACUAACAUGUCACUAGGAUCAUGCUACAAGCAAGUAUGUAACCUACUAGGCUCAAUAUGUUCAAUGUCCAGCAUGUCUGUUACCCAAUCCUUGGCCAACCAAGAGUUAACCCUCGACUCACAUCUCAAUCCCACCUUGGUGAGGACCCUGCUGUCAACCCACCCGGUACAGUCUGCGGACAACUACGUCUGUCCUGAACAUGACCACCUCCGUAGCGCACUAACGGGAGGAGCGACCACCCCAAGCACAAGACUAUGUGAGUAUGAUCCAUCCUCGCCAUCGAGGAAGCCCUAUCCUCUAGGGUUAUCAAUCUCUCGGGAAUACACUGGUUUGUACCUAUGUCCAAAGCCUCAAUGCUAGCAACUGUGUCAAUGACGCACAAGUUCUCAUGCAAGAUGUCCACUGGAAAACUCAUCUAGUCCCUACAUCAUCAUAUCAUAGUGUUCUUUACACUAAGCUCUAACGCCACUCGUCAAGUGUUUUCUAUGUUCCAUGCCACUCGUCAUAAUACAAGGUCCCAACAUUACACAUGUCAUUAACUUUCAUAAUCAUAAGAUCAAGUUACUACUUAUCUUUAUCACUAUAGGGUUCUAUGUCAUUAUACUCAUUCUCAUGCCUUCUAGGUUCCAGUGCCAAUCAGAUUGCUGCACUACCAAGAAGCAUGCUAGAAUAAAACAUUACCAACUACACCCUAUAAUGCAUAAUACUACAUGUGCAAUAUGAUCAACAAAAUACAACUUAGACAUAGGGAGCAGCUCAACUGCUUCAGGAUGGACACCACCCACCUUUUGGUAGUGCCGCGAGGUUAGGAAACUCGACUUCGCGAUCCUUGGUCGCCGUCUUGACUCUUCGGGUCAAUACGAACCCACGAGCACUCGUUUCGGCGAUAACUCCGUACUUGCUUGACGAAUCGACGAACCGUCUUCGCCGACGCGUUUAGAGACCUAGCAAUGAGUAAAACCUAAUUAUAUUGUUAUAUUAGGCUCCGAGAGUAUAAAUUUUCAACGUAUCGAUGUCAACGUUCACAAGAACCAAAACCGGAACAACAUUAGACUACUCAGUUGCACCCUAACAGUAUAACUUUGCAAACAGUACUUUUUCUCAUUCAAUCGAACAAAGAGUAAAACCUAAUUAUAUUGUUCUCUUAUGCCCGAGAGUGUAAAUUUGCAACGUAUCGACAUCAACUUUCACAAGAACCAAAACCGGAACAACAUUAGACUGCAAAGUUGCGUCCGAACAGUAUAACUUUGCACACAGUACUUUUUCUCAUUUAAUCGAACAAAUAGUAAAACCUAAUUAUAUUGUUCUAUUAUGCACCGAGAGUUUAAAUUUGCAACGUAUCGAUGUCAACGUUCACAAGAACCAAAACCGAAAAAAUAUUAGACUAAGUUACCCCCUAACAGUAUAAAUUUGCAAUGAGUACGUUUUCUCAUUCAAUCGAACAAAAAGUAAAACCUAAUUAUAUUGUUCUAUUAUGCCCUGAGAGUGUAAAUUUGCAACAUUUCGAUGUCAACGUUCACAAAAACCAAAACCGGACAAACAUUAGACUACUUAGUUGCGCCCUAACAGUAUAACUUUACAACGAGUACUUUUUUUUCUUCAACCGAACAAAGAGUAAAACCUAAUUAUAUUAUUUUAUUAUGCCCCGAGAGUGUAAUUUGUAACGUAUCUAUGAAACGUUCACAAGAACCAAAAUCGGAACAACAUUAGACUUCUCAGUUGCGCCCUAACAAUAUAACUUUGCAAACUGUAUUUUUUCUCAUCCAAUCGAAUAAAGAGUAAACCCAAUUAUAUUAUUCUAUUAUACGCCGAGAGUGUAAAUUGGCAACUUAUCGAUGUCAACGUUCACAAGAACCAAAAUCGGACAAACAUUAGACUACUCAGUUGCGCCCUAACAGCAUAACUUUGCAAUGAAUAGUUUUUCUCCUUCAAUCGAACAAAGAGUAAAACCUAAUUAUACUGUUCUAUUUUGUCCCAAGAGUGUAAAUUUACAACGUAUCGAUGUCAAGAUUCACAAAAACCAAAACCGAACCAACAUUAGACUACUCAGUUGCGCCCUAACAGUAUAACUUUACAACGAGUAUUUUUCUCCUUUAACCGAACAAAGAGUAAACCUAAUUAUGUUGUUCUAUUAUGUCCCGAGUGUGUAAAUUUGCAACGUAUCGAUGUAAACGUUCACAAGAACCAAAAUCGGAACAACAAUAAAAUACUCAGUUGCGCCCUAACAGUAUAACUUUGCAAACUGUACUUAUUCUCAUUCAAUCGAACAAAGAGUAAAACCCAAUUAUAUUGUUCUAUUAUUCCCCGAGAGUGUAAAUUUGCAACUUAUCGAUGUCAACGUUCACAAGAAACAAAACUGGACAAACAUUAGACUACUUAGUUGCGCCCUAACAGUAUAACUUUGCAACGAGUACUUUUUCUCAUUCAACCGAACAAAGAGUAAACAAUAUAUUGUUCUAUUAUGACCCGAGUGUGUAAAUUUCUAUCUGAUCGAUGCCAAUGUUCACAAGAACCAAAACCGGACCAACAUUAGACUACUCAGUUACGCCCUAACAGUAUAACUUUACAAACAGUACUUUUUCUCAUUCAAUCGAACAAAGAGUAAAACCAAAUUAUAUUAUUCUAUUAUGCCCCGAAAAUGUAAAUUUGCAACGUAUCGAUGUCAACGUUCACAAGAACCAAAGCCCGAACAACAUUAGACUACUCAGUUGCACCCUAACAGUAUAACUUUGCAAACAGUACAUUUUCUCAUUCCAUCGAACAAAGAGUAAAACCAAAUUAUAUUAUUCUAUAAUGCCCCGAGAAUUUAAAUUUGCAACGUAUCGAUGUCAACGUUCACAAAAACCAAAACUAGACCAACAUUAGCCGGACCAACAUUAGACUACUCAGUUGCGCCCUAACAGUAUAACUUUGUAACGAGUACUUUUUCUGAUUCAACCCAACAAAGAGUAAAACCUAAUUAUAUUACUCUAUUAUGCCCUGAGAGUAUAAAUUUGCGACGUAUCGAUGUCAACGUUCACAAAAAUCAAAACUGGAACAACAAUAGACUACUCAGUUGUGCCCUGACAGUGUAACUUUGCAACGAGUACUUUUUCUCAUUNUUUUCUCAUUCAAUCGAACAAAGAUUAAAACUAAUUAUAUUGUUCUAUUAUGCCCGAGAUUGUAAAUUUGCAAUGUAUCGAUGUCAACGUUCACAAGAACCAAAACUGGAACAACAUUAGACGACUCAAUUUCGUCCUAACAGUAUAAAUUUGCAAACAGUGCUUUUUCUCAUUCAAUCGAACAUUGAGUAAAACCGAAUUAUAUUGUUCUAUUAUGCCCCGAGACUGUAAAUUUGCAACGUAUCGUUGUCAACGUUCACAAGAAACAAAACCGAAAAAAUAUUAGACUACUCAAUUGCUCCCUAACAGUAUAACUUUGCAAUGAGUACUUUUUCUCAUUCAAUCGAAUAAAGAGUAAAACCUAAUUUUAUUGUUCUAUUAUGCCACGAGAGUGUAAAUUUGCAAUGUAUCAAUGUCAACGUUCACAAAAGUCAAAACCAGACCAACAUUAAACUACUUAGUUGCGCCCUAACAGUAUAACUUUACAACGAGUACUUUUUCUCCUUCAACCGAACAAAGAAUAAAACCUAAUUAUAUUGUUCUAUUACGCUCCGAGAGUGUAAAUUUGCAACGUAUCGAUGCAAACGUCCACAAGAACCAAAACCAGAACAAUAUUAGACUACUCAGUUGCGCCCUAACAGUAUAACUUUGCAAACUAUGCUUUUUCUCAUUUAAUGGAAUAAAGAGUAAAACCCAAUUAUAUUGUUCUAUUAUACUCCGAGAGUGUAAAUUUGCAACGUAUCAAUGUCAACGUUCACAAGAACCAAAACCGAAAAAAUAUUAGACUGCUCAGUUGCUCCCUAACAGUAUAACUUUACAUUGAGUAUUUUUUCUCAUUCAACCAAAUAAAGAGUAAAACCUAAUUAUAUUGUUCUAUUAUGUCCCGAGAGUGUAAAUUUGCAACGUAUCGAUGUCAACGUUCACAAAAACCAAAACCGAACCAACAUUAGACUACUAAGUUGCGCUCUAACAGUAUAACUUUGCAACGAGUACUUUUUCUCCUUCAACCGAAUAAAGAGUAAAACCUAAUUAUAUUGUUCUAUUAUACCCGGAGAGUGUAAAUUUGCAACGUA
rnacentral:lncRNA from 1 species